ACGCAGACGGCCGGUCAAGGCCGAGUUGACAGUGGACUGUAAAUCCGUCGCGAAAGCUACCCAGGUUCGAAUCCUGGACCCGCGUG
rnacentral:tRNA from 1 species